rnacentral:rRNA from 1 species
UACGAAGGGGGCUAGCGUUGCUCGGAAUCACUGGGCGUAAAGCGCACGUAGGCGGAUUGCUAAGUCAGGGGUGAAAUCCUGGAGCUCAACUCCAGAACUGCCUUUGAUACUGGCGACCUUGAGUCCGGGAGAGGUGAGUGGAACUGCGAGUGUAGAGGUGAAAUUCGUAGAUAUUAGGAAGAACACCAGUGGCGAAGGCGGCUCACUGGCCCGAAACUGACGCUGAUGUACGAAAGCGUGGGGAGCAAACAGG